AUUGAACGCUGGCGGCAUGCCUUACACAUGCAAGUCGAACGGUAACAGGUCUUCGGAUGCUGACGAGUGGCGAACGGGUGAGUAAUACAUCGGAACGUGCCUAGUAGUGGGGGAUAACUACUCGAAAGAGUGGCUAAUACCGCAUGAGAUCUACGGAUGAAAGCAGGGGAUCGCAAGACCCUGUGCUACUAGAGCGGCCGAUGGCAGAUUAGGUAGUUGGUGGGAUAAAAGCUUACCAAGCCGACGAUCUGUAGCUGGUCUGAGAGGACGAUCAGCCACACUGGGACUGAGACACGGCCCAGACUCCUACGGGAGGCAGCAGUGGGGAAUUUUGGACAAUGGGCGCAAGCCUGAUCCAGCAAUGCCGCGUGCAGGAUGAAGGCCUUCGGGUUGUAAACUGCUUUUGUACGGAACGAAAAGCCCCGGGUUAAUACCCUGGGGUCAUGACGGUGCCGUAAGAAUAAGCACCGGCUAACUACGUGCCAGCCGCCGCUGUAA
rnacentral:rRNA from 1 species